UGCAUACUUCUUUAGACCGAACUAGGUAGUUAUAGUAGGUACUCUAGGAAUCCUCUACCUGCCCACGUAUAAAAAAAUUCCAAGACAAAUGUCAUUUUGAUUUGUCAAAAUGAAGAUAAAAAUUAAAAAGGAAUGAGACCUUUUUAUAGGCCUCUGGGCGGCUAGAGGAUCACAUUAAUUUCUGAAUUUCUAGAAACGUCUAACAUUCUUCUUCACUUGAUAUGAUAACUGAAAUCUUUUCUAUUUCUGUAUUUAACAAUCUAACGACGAUAUAUCUUAUAUAUUCGUGCGGCGGUAUGACCAACUCCCGCCCACAAUUGAUUCAGCCCAUUGUGUCCACAAUGCCCAAGUUAGAAAUUCAAUACGAAUUUCCGCCACAUUGUAGUGGCUCCAUUAUCACGAAAAGGAUUUAUAAAAUUUACCUUUCCCAAUUAUAAAGGAUUAUUCACAGAGUUGUUCGCAUAGAUAGCUUUUCAUAUGGAUCUAAUUAUUCGUUGUAUAAUUCGCGGCCCAGCUACUGAUAGCGUUAAAAUUUCUUGACUUUGAUUUACAAUGUAAAAAUUGGGUAUAAUAUACAUUUGCAUAAAUCUCUUGAUAUCUUGUGUUGUGCCUUGAACAAGCAAGAAUAAUGAUGCUAAUAUCGACCUAGAUUCUGACAUCUAAGGUAUGUCAGUAGCCAUUAUUCUUAGCGUCUUAUAUUCAGUGAGCGACUUGUGCAAAUUUAUUGUGACUGCGAGAUAAUUACUUAUUGUUUACAAAUUAUAUAGCAUCAUCUAUUAUAUACUAUACUAAUAUGCACAAUGUUAUAAAUCAAUAUUUUAUGGUUAUACAUAAUAUAGAUCUAAUUAUGCAUUUCAUGCUAAUGAACUUAGGGUAACAAACUAGCUUAAGGCUCUAUAUGUAUACUCCCCUUAGUUGAGUCCUACAUAUAGAGGUUAAUUCUCAACAAUGUGACUCAAUGCUUGCACCUAUGUUGACUGUUUAUCAGUUUUGUGCUGGUUUGCUAACUUGUGUUUCUGAUCUCAUAAUGAGUAUUAUUUAUUUAGAGGCCAUAUUGCGUUGUAAUUAAUAGUUUUUUUUUUUAUUUAUUUAUUGCGAUUAAUGUACAUAUUUGCAAGAAACAAGUAAACCAAAGAUUUUGAAUCAUCCCUUUGGAUAUUUUUAUUUUUGACAAAUUUAAUUACUUUUUAUAAUUUAAUAUUAACAUUUUGUAUAUAAAAUUAUCAUUAGAAUGAUAAUCUUUAUGACGUAAAGUUCUCUUUACAUUAUAGGAGAUAUUUAAAGCACUAGGGCUAAUGCAACAUUUGGCAUUCAACAAAAUAUAGUUAGCUUCAGCUUGUAAUAUUGACUACAAUUGUUUCUGUAUGCAUCAGUUUCAUGCUUUGCAUUUAUCGGAUAUAUUAAAGUACUACAUUGUAAUGUUCAGUGCUGUUAGUGAUGACAAUAUUUCGUAACAGACUUGUUUCUUUAUAGGUUUAAGAUUCUAAGUAUAGAACUAUUUGACCCAUAGGUUUUGCGUGACUACCGCACUGUACUGCCCAAAUAGACUGAAGUGUCCAAAUAUUUCCUUUUUUAUAUUUGAUAAAUUGUUUUGUUACUUUAUGUAUGGUAUUUUACCCCAUGAUUUGAAUGCCAAAUAAAUAAUAAUUGAUA